AGAGUUUGAUCAUGGCUCAGGAUGUACGCUAGCUACAGGCUUAACACAUGCAAGUCGCGGGGCAGCAUGGAUUUAGCUUGCUAAAUUCGAUGGCGACCGGCGCACGGGUGAGUAACGCGUAUCCAACCUGCCCAUCUCCACGGGAUAGCCCGUCGAAAGGCGGAUUAAUACCGUAUGAGGUCACGAGACGGCAUCAGACCGUGACGAAAGGUUUAGCGGAGAUGGAUGGGGAUGCGUCCGAUUAGCUAGUUGGCGGGGUAACGGCCCACCAAGGCGACGAUCGGUAGGGGUUCUGAGAGGAAGGUCCCCCACAUUGGAACUGAGACACGGUCCAAACUCCUACGGGAGGCAGCAGUGAGGAAUAUUGGUCAAUGGGCGCGAGCCUGAACCAGCCAAGUAGCGUGCAGGACGACGGCCCUAUGGGUUGUAAACUGCUUUUAUGCGGGGAUAAAAUGUGCCACGUGUGGCAUAUUGCAGGUACCGCAUGAAUAAGGACCGGCUAAUUCCGUGCCAGCAGCCGCGGUAAUACGGAAGGUCCGGGCGUUAUCCGGAUUUAUUGGGUUUAAAGGGAGCGUAGGCCGCCUUUUAAGCGUGUUGUGAAAAACCGGGGCUCAACUCCGGUCGUGCAGCGCGAACUGGAGGGCUUGAGUCCGCAGAAAGUGCGCGGAAUUCGUGGUGUAGCGGUGAAAUGCUUAGAUAUCACGAAGAACCCCGAUUGCGAAGGCAGCGCACUGUAGCGUCACCGACGCUGAAGCUCGAAAGUGCGGGUAUCGAACAGGAUUAGAUACCCUGGUAGUCCGCACGGUAAACGAUGGAUGCCCGCUGUUCCGGCAUUAGCUGGAGUGGCCAAGCGAAAGCGUUAAGCA
rnacentral:rRNA from 1 species